UACGGGGGGUGCAAGCGUUGUUCGGAAUUACUGGGCGUAAAGGGCGCGUAGGCGGCCUGCUAAGUCGGACGUGAAAUCCCUCGGCUCAACCGAGGAACUGCGUCCGAUACUGGUGGGCUUGAAUCCGGGAGAGGGAUGUGGAAUUCCAGGUGUAGCGGUGAAAUGCGUAGAUAUCUGGAGGAACACCGGUGGCGAAGGCGGCAUCCUGGACCGGUAUUGACGCUGAGGCGCGAAAGCUAGGGGAGCAAACGGG
rnacentral:rRNA from 1 species